rnacentral:tRNA from 1 species
CUAAUAUGGCAGAAUAGUGUAAUGAAUUUAAAAUUCAUUUAUGAAACCAUAAAUUUCUUUUAGAAA